UAGAAAUACAUUUGCUCUCUCUUUGGUGAACGAUCAGUGAGAGAGCGACGGAGAGAACGAAUUCGCGAAGAUGGAGCAUCGUUACAGAUGAUCGAUGAGAUCUACUCCAACGGCGUCACGAAUCCCAGCAUCGCAGGUCGAUCAUCAAAUAGGUUGCAGAAAUCGAAGAUUGAACUGAAGAAGAAGACGAAGAAGCCGUAAAUGGAAGAGCAAAGCGAGAGAAAAUUCCCAGCCUUCCCAUUCAAACCCUACUCGAUUCAGAUCGAUUUCAUGAACGCCCUCUAUCAAUCUCUCGACCGAGGCGGCAUUUCCAUGCUCGAAAGCCCCACCGUUUCGAAGAAAAAAAGAAGAAGAUUUUUCAUGGAUGAGUCAUGGGAGGAGAAAGCCGUAAGGGUUGGGUGUGGUUCCGUACUUCUCCCUUCCAUUCCGAAAUAAAAGGGAAGGACGGAGAAGAAGAAGGCCUGAUGAUGGAAGCCACCAAAACAGAGGGCAUUUUACCCAUUGCAAGAAAGAGUUUCCUUAGAAUUUUUAGAGAUAUUAUGGAGGAGAGGAGAAAUUCCUUGACGAAGAAUUAUGACAUGCUGGACUAUCUGCUAAAGGAAGAGGAUCCAAGAUACAAACUCAAUGAUGAGGAAAUUCUCGAUCAAGUAGUUAUGAUUCUCUAUUUGGGUUUCGAAACUGUAUCGACUCCUUCAAUGAUGGCCAUCAUGUAUCUUGAUGAUCACCCAUCAGCUCUUCAAGAAAUCAGAGAUGAGCAUUUCGCAAUAAGAGGAAGGAAAAAGCCAGAAGAGCCACUUGACUGGAACGAUCACAAGUUGAUGGUUUUUACACGUGUGGUAAACAAAUUGACAAACCUACUCUACAUGGCCAGAAAUCGUGUCGCCGAGAAUCUGUCCUCUCCUAACGUACUGUAAACUAAACUAAACAUGGAGAAUCUCCGGUUACCAAAUGCCAAGACAUCAUCAUACGGUUGCAACUCGCAAAUGUGAUAUUUGAAACAUCAAGAUUGGCCACAGUUGUCAACGGAAUUUUGAGGAAGACAACCGAUGGAAUGGAAUUGAAUGGUAUGCUGCGAAACUCUUAGUUCGAACUAGGGCAGAAUUUUAUUUCGCCGCUUGUUCACUAGGGUUUUUCCUGGAGACAAAAG